rnacentral:tRNA from 1 species
CACCGCGUAGCUCAGUUGGAAGAGCAUUGGGCUGGUAUUCCAAAGGUCGUAGGUUCGAAUCCCACCGUGGCCG